rnacentral:lncRNA from 1 species
CUUGUGUAUUACGGUACAUGCACAUGUAGCCUAUGAGCUCCUAAUUCGUGUUUUCCCACGCAGUAAUUUCAGACAUACAUACAUCGAUGUGUGUACGUACCCUCCUCCUCCUGAGCACGGCACAUUGAUGACCUGGCCGAUUUGCAGACUGUUGGGGUCAACUCCCGGGUUCAAGGACUGAAUGGCGUCCACGGUGGUGCCGCACCGUAAAGCAACGGCCCCCAAGGUGUCACCAGACUUGAUGGUGUACGUGCAGCCGCUGCCGCUGCUUGGUGCUGCUUAAUUGAAUUGGGGGAAUAAGCCAAUGCAAAGGGAGGAGACUAAGUAAAGGGGCAAUCACAUCCGGCCAUGCACACACGUGUGCAUGUACAUGGAUGUAUAGUCGAUCCCUGUAAUUGUAUAAAGAUGUGCAGGCACAGACAUACUGACUUUGCUUCCAGCAUGUAGGGUGUUACAUAAUACCGCGCAGAUAGCAACAGCCGGCUCACGAACAGCACACAUGUGUUGGCAGCCCACAGCAGUGAGCUGCCCACCCAGGUCGUUGGUUGGAGUAGCAAUUUGUUGUAUCACGUCUUAUCGCAGGAAAAGAACCGAUCGGGGGAUACUAGAUUCCGUGAUACCCAGGAUACUACACAAUAACAUGUUUCACUUCCUAAACAGGCAACCAGCACGCAUCCAUACGCCGUGAUUGAUGAACAGCAUGUGCUUACCGGAUCUGCUUCAUGUGCCCAUGGAGGCACGAUAUGGUUUAUGUACGGGAUUGGAGGGGAAGAAAAGAGGGUUGCGGUAGGUGGGGGAAUAUUUAAGUUGUCGGGCUAUAUAUGGGCAGCAGGAAUAUUAAAAGAGGUAGGAUGGAAAUUGCUUUAAACCACGUUCAAUAUAGGUCGUACUGUGAUAUAUAAUGAAACGGAUGAUUAGUAAUGCACAGACUUCUCUUUCAGAGAGAAGGCUAGAUCUUGGAAGAAACAUGAUCUAGGUUAAGUCAAAGUAUGGUAACAUCGUACAGGUUGCAUAAGAGAUAGGUUGGGAGAUAGAGAUGCUAGGCUCUGCCAGAGCUCUGUACAGCUCUUCAACUGUUCAGUAGAGCGCCAUUAAUCGAUAACAUCUUUGCAAUGAGAGGCGCCGGCAGUAAAUGCCCGCCCACCCACGCAGGUAAUGGCUUGGAAUCAACUGCAAUUGGACACUUGAUCCGGCGGGAUGUUAGUCGAGCAUCUAUCCGCCACUAGGUCAACUUGGAAGCGCUGGUUUACGAAUUGCCGGUCUGCCAUUACAGCAGCAGGUCAGGUUGGAUCGAUGCCAUCUGCUGCAGGUAUCUGGAAAAUGCAUGGGGAUAGGCGGCGUAGUUCGCUUAGUAUGGCACAUCUUCCUUAAGUGUAAAGGUCGUACAGAGGACAAGAACCGUGACAUAAAUUCAGCCAAUGGCCUGCCCUCUGUCGGACAUGACGCCACCAGCACAUGCAGCCUGCUGUAUUCUGGGCAUACCACGGAAUCCGCAUCCGCGGAUCGCUACUUUUCUGAUGUCGUGAUAUAACACAGCCAUCCAUCUACUGCUGAUGCACGCACGUGUCCUAAAUGUUCCAGGCACUUGCGCUCGCUGACAGCUGCAGCCAGCAAUAAUGGAUCACCUCCUUCGUUAGAUGGAUAGAUGGAUAGAUCAGAUUAGAUAGGUACAUAUGAUAGAUAAAUUUAGGUAGCUAGAUAGAUAUGAUUAGACAGGUAUGAUAUGCUAGAUAAGCCUGAUAGAGUUUGGUUACAUUGCUACAGGAAAGCAUUACACACAGUACCUGCCUGCCUUGUGCAACGAUUACUAAUUAAAGGUAUGCAAGGUUGAAUAUUUAGGCGAAAACGAAAGAGGGGUCUAGAGCUACAGACAAAAUGUAUUACCUGCACUCGGUAGAUAUCAAUGCUGGAACAAUAUGUGGUCAGCGGUGCUUGUGUAUUACGGUACAUGCACAUGUAGCCUAUGAGCUCCUAAUUCGUGUUUUCCCACGCAGUAAUUUCAGACAUACAUACAUCGAUGUGUGUACGUACCCUGAGCACGGCACAUUGAUGACCUGGCCGAUUUGCAACAUGUAGGGGUCAACUCCCGGGUUCAAGGACUGAAUGGCGUCCAGGGUGGUGCCGCGCCGUAAAGCAACGGCCCAAAAGGUGUCACCAGACUUGAUGGUGUACGUGCAGCCGCUGCCGCUGCUUGGUG